GGUAGGAUGGCCGAGUGCUCAGGCGGUGGGUUGUAGCUCCAUGGACAAAGGUUUAAUUCCUUUUCCUGCCA
rnacentral:tRNA from 1 species